rnacentral:tRNA from 1 species
GGGGACUUGGCUCAGUGGUAGAGCGCGUGCCUAGCAAGCGCAAGGCCCUGGGUUCGAUCCCCAGCUCCA